UACAGAGGGUGCGAGCGUUGUCCGGAAUCACUGGGCGUAAAGGGCGCGUAGGCGGCCUGAUAAGUAGGGGGUGAAAUCCUGUGGCUUAACUGCAGGGCUGCCUCCUAGACUGUUAGGCUCGAGCACGGUAGAGGCAGAUGGAAUUCCCGGUGUAGCGGUGGAAUGCGUAGAGAUCCGGAAGAACACCAGUGGCGAAGGCGGUCUGCUGGGCAGUUGCUGACACUGAUGCGCGACAGCGUGGGGAGCAAACAGG
rnacentral:rRNA from 1 species